UGGGGAAUAUUUCACAAUGGGGGAAACCCUGAUGCAGCGACGCCGCGUGAACGAAGAAGGUAUUCGUAUCGUAAAGUUCUUUUAUAUGGGAAGAUAAUGACGGUACCAUAAGAAAAAGCCCCGGCUAAAUACGUGCCAGCAGCCGCGGUAAUACGUAUGGAGCGAGCGUUGUCCGGAAUUAUUGGGCGUAAAGGGUACGCAGGCGGUUUAAUAAGUCGAAUGUUAAAGAUCGGGGCUCAACCCCGUAAAGCAUUGGAAACUGAUAAACUUGAGUAGUGGAGAGGAAAGUGGAAUUCCUAGUGUAGUGGUGAAAUACGUAGAUAUUAGGAGGAAUACCAGUAGCGAAGGCGACUUUCUGGACACAAACUGACGCUGAGGUACGAAAGCGUGGGGAGCAAACAGG
rnacentral:rRNA from 1 species